CCCGCCUUAACUCAGACUGGUAGAGUGCGCGGCUGUAGUUUGGUUUACUCUGACGAAAGGAGUAACUGCGCGGCUACCGCGAUGUCCCCGGUUCGAAUCCGGGAGGCGGGA
rnacentral:tRNA from 1 species